rnacentral:rRNA from 1 species
AUUGAACGCUGGCGGCAGGCUUAACACAUGCAAGUCGAGCGGAGAUGAGGUGCUUGCACCUUAUCUUAGCGGCGGACGGGUGAGUAAUGCUUAGGAAUCUGCCUAUUAGUGGGGGACAACAUUCCGAAAGGAAUGCUAAUACCGCAUACGUCCUACGGGAGAAAGCAGGGGAUCUUCGGACCUUGCGCUAAUAGAUGAGCCUAAGUCGGAUUAGCUAGUUGGUGGGGUAAAGGCCUACCAAGGCGACGAUCUGUAGCGGGUCUGAGAGGAUGAUCCGCCACACUGGGACUGAGACACGGCCCAGACUCCGACGGGAGGCAGGAGUGGGGAAUAUUGGACAAUGGGGGGAACCCUGAUCCAGCCAUGCCGCGUGUGUGAAGAAGGCAUUAUGGUUGUAAAGCACUUUAAGCGAGGAGGAGGCUACUGAGACUAAUACUCUUGGAUAGUGGACGUUACUCGCAGAAUAAGCACCGGCUAACUCUGUGCCAGCCGCCGCCGUAAUAC